rnacentral:rRNA from 1 species
AGCGAACGCUGGCGGCAGGCUUAACACAUGCAAGUCGAACGGGCGUAGCAAUACGUCAGUGGCAGACGGGUGAGUAACGCGUGGGAACGUACCUUUUGGUUCGGAACAACACAGGGAAACUUGUGCUAAUACCGGAUAAGCCCUUACGGGGAAAGAUUUAUCGCCGAAAGAUCGGCCCGCGUCUGAUUAGCUAGUUGGUGAGGUAACGGCUCACCAAGGCGACGAUCAGUAGCUGGUCUGAGAGGAUGAUCAGCCACAUUGGGACUGAGACACGGCCCAAACUCCUACGGGAGGCAGCAGUGGGGAAUAUUGGACAAUGGGCGCAAGCCUGAUCCAGCCAUGCCGCGUGAGUGAUGAAGGUCCUAGGGUUGUAAAGCUCUUUUGUGCGGGAAGAUAAUGACGGUACCGCAAGAAUAAGCCCCGGCUAACUUCGUGCCAGCAGCCGCGGUAAGGUAGAUGAGU